UACGUAGGGUGCGAGCGUUAAUCGGAAUUACUGGGCGUAAAGCGUGCGCAGGCGGUUUUGUAAGCCAGAUGUGAAAUCCCCGGGCUUAACCUGGGAAUGGCAUUUGGGACUGCAAGGCUGGAGUGUGGCAGAGGAGACUGGAAUUCCCGGUGUAGCAGUGAAAUGCGUAGAUAUCGGGAGGAACACCAGUAGCGAAGGCGGCUCGCUGGGCCGUUCCUGACGCUGAGACGCGAAAGCGUGGGGAGCAAACAGG
rnacentral:rRNA from 1 species